rnacentral:rRNA from 1 species
AGCAGCCGCGGUAAUUCCAGCUCCAAUAGCGUAUAUUAAAGUUGUUGCAGUUAAAAAGCUCGUAGUUGAAUUUCGGGGUUAGUAGGUUGGUCAUGCCUCUGGUAUGUACUGGUCUCACUGAUUCCUCCUUCCUGAUGAACCUUAAUGCCAUUUAUUUGGUGUUUUGGGGAAUUUGGACUGUUACUUUGAAAAAAUUAGAGUGUUUAAAGCAAGCUAACGCUUGAAUACAUUAGCAUGGAAUAAUGAAAUAGGACGUUUGAUCCUAUUUUGUUGGUUUCUAGGAUUGACGUAAUGAUUAAUAGGGAUAGUUGGGGGCAUUAGUAUCCAAUUGUCAGAGGUGAAAUUCUUGGAUUUAUUGAAGACUAACUACUGCGAAAGCAUUUGCCAAGGAUGUUUUCAUUAAUCAAGAACGAAGUUAGGGGAUCGAAGACGAUCAGAUACCGUCGUAGUCUUAACCAUAAACUAUGCCGACUAGGGAUCGGAUGAUGUUAAUUUUUAAUGACUCAUUCGGNGCCUUACG